rnacentral:lncRNA from 1 species
AUGAACAACAGGCCCUAUUUCAGGCCAAAUCCAUAUUAUGAAGAUCUGGAGAGAAUGGAGGAGGUGGUCAUGUCAAUUCUGCACAACUUAGUGAUGGAGAACACUGAGAUCCAUGAGAACAACCAUGAGCUGAAGAAGGAGAUGACCUUCUCUAGAAACCUGCUCAACCAGCUCCUGAUGGAGAACACAUGUAGGAAGAAGUUGCUCCCACUGAAGCAGGAGAGCAAGGAGGUACAUCUUGAUUGUGCACUGCACCAGAAAUAUUUGGUUGACUUCAACAAGAAAGAUAAAGACCAGCAACCUCCAGACCCAGCAUCAUCUGGUCUCAGAAAGUGCAAGAGAGCUAGAAUUGGACACACACCAGUAAGAGAGCUUCCUGAAGAAUAAGUUGCUUUCUCAGGAGUCCCUGAUGACAAACAUCCUGAACGAAAACACCACUUGAGAGACAACUUGGGGGACUGCCUUUCAUUAUGUGUGCUAGAGGAGAAACAGCAAUACAUCUGUGCUUCUAAAUGUUAAGAAUAUGCUGUUUAGAAAUAUUUUUGUUAUGAUUUUAAUUGAAGUUUUCUUUUUGUUGUUUCAUAUUUAUAUGUUCUUGUUACUAUUUUUCACUUUCAAAUAUUUUUACAUAUUUUUAUUUAUUCAUUUUAAUCCUGU